UGGGGAAUAUUGGGCAAUGGGCGAAAGCCUGACCCAGCAACGCCGCGUGAGUGAAGAAGGCUUUCGGGUUGUAAAGCUCUGUUAUAGGUGACGAAGGAAGUGACGGUAGCCUAUAAGGAAGCCCCGGCUAACUACGUGCCAGCAGCCGCGGUAAUACGUAGCGGGCGAGCGUUGUCCGGAAUGACUGGGCGUAAAGGGCGUGUAGGCGGCUAAAUAAGUCUGGAGUGAAAGUCCUGCAUUCAAUGUGGGAAUUGCUUUGGAUACUGUUAAGCUUGAGUGCGGAAGAGGUAAGUGGAAUUCCCAGUGUAGCGGUGAAAUGCGUAGAGAUUGGGAGGAACACCAGUGGCGAAGGCGACUUACUGGGCCGUAACUGACGCUGAGGCGCGAAAGCGUGGGGAGCGAACAGG
rnacentral:rRNA from 2 species